GUUAUUUUCGGUUCUCUCUUCGUUUUACAUUCUUUUUCGGCUUUAAUUGCAAGGAUGCACUUGUUUGACCCAGUCAAAAUAAUAGUAGUGCCAGCUAAAUUGACAAGAAUAAUUAAAUUUAAUCGCUUUUUAGCCAGACUCUUCUUUGAAAUUAGGUACAGAAUAUAUGGGGCGUGGCAAACACUGUAAUGCCGAGAGGCGGUAACUCAUUAAAAAACUGAUUUUUUCUGGAAAGACUUAUGUCAGGGUGCAAAAUAUUAUCGGAUGCUCUUCUACAAUGAUUAGAAAUGCAAUUAAAUAUGAACCAACAAAUGAAACUCGUGGUCGGUUCAAGUUAUUGACCAAAAGGUCAGUAGAUCGCUUAACAAGACAGGCAAGAAGCAAUCCUUUUGAGUCCACUGCAGCCCUAAAAAAAAUCUUGUAAAAUUAAUUUUAGUUUGGAAACAAUAAGAUGUCUCGGAGAUGAAAACCUCAUUUCAAGAAGUCCACGAAAAGUGCCGUUACUAACAAAAAAACAUGCAGCAAGUUAUGCAACAUUCCGUUUGAAGUUUGCAAGAAAGCACUUGAAUUGGCCUUUGGAGAAGUGGAGGAAUAUUUUGUGGUCGGAUGAGUCCAAGAUAGUUUUGUUUGGAGGCCAUGGCUCUCGGGAGUUUGUUAGACGACCACCCUUAUCUGACUUUUUCCCGAAAUAUACAUUAAAAACGGUUAA